GAUGAACGCUGGCGGCGUGCCUAAUACAUGCAAGUCGAGCGAACGGACGAGAAGCUUGCUUCUCUGAUGUUAGCGGCGGACGGGUGAGUAACACGUGGAUAACCUACCUAUAAGACUGGGAUAACUUCGAAAAACCGGAGCUAAUACCGGAUAAUCUUUUGAACCGCAUGGUUCAAAAGUGAAAGACGGUCUUUCUGUCACUUAUAGAUGGAUCCGCGCUGCAUUAGCUAGUUGGUAAGGGAACGGCUUACCAAGGCAACGAUGCAUAGCCGACCUGAGAGGGUGAUCGGCGACACUGGAACUGAGACAGGGUCCAGACCCCUACGGGAGGGAGCAGUAGGGAAUGUUCAGCAAUGGGCGAAAGCCGGACGGAGCAACGCCGCGUGAGUGAUGAAGGUCUUCGGAUCGUAAAACUCUGUUAUUAGGGAAGAACAUAUGUGUAAGUAACUGUGCACAUCGUGACGGUACCUAAUCAGAAAGCCCCGGCUAACUACGUG
rnacentral:rRNA from 1 species